GUAGGACACUUCUGUAGGACACUUCUGUAGGACACUUCUGUAGGACACUUCUGUAGGACUCUUCUAUAGGACUCUUCUGUUGGACACUUCUGUAGGUAGGACACUUCUGUAGGACUUUUCUGUAGGACACUUCUGUUGGACACUUCUGUAGGACACUUCUAUAGGACUCUUCUGUUGGACACUUCUGUAGGUAGGACACUUCUGUAGGACAGUUCUGUAGGACACUUCUGUAGGUAGGACUCUUCUGUUGGACACUUCUGUAGGUAGGACACUUCUGUAGGACACUUCUGUAGGACACUUCUGUAGGUAGGACACUUCUGUAGGACACUUCUGUAGGACACUUCUGUAGGUAGGACACUUCUGUAGGACACUUCUGUAGGACACUUCUGUAGGUAGGACUCUUCUGUUGGACACUUCUGUAGGUAGGACACUUCUGUAGGACACUUCUGUAGGACUCUUCUGUAGGACACUUCUGUAGGUAGGACUCUUCUGUUGGACACUUCUGUAGGACACUUCUGUAGGUAGGACUCUUCUGUUGGACACUUCUGUAGGUAGGACACUUCUGUAGGACACUUCUGUAGGACACUUCUGUAGGACACUUCUGUAGGUAGGACACUUCUGUAGGACACUUCUGUAGGACACUUCUGUAGGUAGGACACUUCUGUAGGACACUUCUGUAGGACACUUCUGUAGGUAGGACACUUCUGUAGGUAGGACACUUCUGUAGGAC